rnacentral:rRNA from 1 species
CCUACGGGAGGCUGCAGUGGGGAAUAUUGCACAAUGGGCGCAAGCCUGAUGCAGCCAUGCCGCGUGUGUGAAGAAGGCCUUCGGGUUGUAAAGCACUUUCAGCGGGGAGGAAGGCGUUAAGGUUAAUAACCUUGUCGAUUGACGUUACCCGCAGAAGAAGCACCGGCUAACUCCGUGCCAGCAGCCGCGGUAAUACGGAGGGUGCAAGCGUUAAUCGGAAUUACUGGGCGUAAAGCGCACGCAGGCGGUCUGUCAAGUCGGAUGUGAAAUCCCCGGGCUCAACCUGGGAACUGCAUUCGAAACUGGCAGGCUAGAGUCUUGUAGGGGGGGGUAGAAUUCCAGGUGUAGCGGUGAAAUGCGUAGAGAUCUGGAGGAAUACCGGUGGCGAAGGCGGCCCCCUGGACAAAGACUGACGCUCAGGUGCGAAAGCGUGGGGAGCAAACAGGAUUAGAUACCCCGGUAGUC